GCAAGUCGAGCGACACCUUCGGGUGUAGCGGCGGACGGGUUAGUAACGCGUGGGAACAUACCCUUGGGUACGGAACAACAGCUGGAAACGGCUGCUAAUACCGUAUGAUGUCUUCGGACCAAAGAUUUAUCGCCCAAGGAUUGGCCCGCGUUGGAUUAGGUAGUUGGUGGGGUAAUGGCCUACCAAGCCUACGAUCCAUAGCUGGUCUGAGAGGAUGAUC
rnacentral:rRNA from 1 species